AGAGGUCAAGGCUGCAGUGAGCCGUGAUCAUGCCUCUGCACUCCAGCCUGGACGAUAGAGCAAGACUUUAUCUCAAAAAACAAAAAUUUAAAAAGAUAUCAGGUAGCUCAUAGAAUUGUUGAGAGGGCUGUAAAACCAGGCUUGAACUUAAACAGCAACGAUAAACCACCCACAGAACGGACAUGAUGAAGAAGUUGGCAAAUGUUACCAACUGUCCUGGUUUUUUUGGUGACUGUAGUUUCCAAGGAUUCAGAUCCUUCCAUGCCAAAAUCUGAAAAAUGCUGGGCAAAGUAUGACUGACAAUGUGGUAAUCUUACAGCUAGCACUAGAGACAUCAAGCACUAGACAACACAAUUUGCCCUUUGGCCACUUAUACAAUGGGAACUCACGCUUGCAGUAACCUCUAUUGCCACUAGGAGAGAGAAACACAGAAGGAGGAAGGGAGAAGGGAGAGAGAGGAAAAAAACUGUUGCUUGUCUCCUUAGCUGUGAGUCAAAGGUCUAACACAGAUGUCUGGCUGAAAAGCCUAGGUCACAUGCCUGCACCCCAGAGAAAGUAUGUGACAUCUUCUGCUUCCAUUAUGGGAAACAGCCUUUGCUUGUCACGAAGAUUUACAUGGUGAGACAUAUCCUAAAUAUAGGGAAGCUGUUGAAGUGGCCCAAAUAAUGACCAAUUUCUACUAAUUUGUACUAAUAUCCAAAUUACUUUUAAUUAUCUAAUAUUACUUAGAUACAGUGAGGCAACCAUUCGUUGGAUAUAUAAUGGUUUCUUUGAUUUCAAAAAUCUUUUUUUAUGUAAUAUAUGUCUGAAGACCAUCAAAAUAAAUUCUUAAAGUCAGAUUAAUAGGAUGUUACUUAUAAUAUUAUUGUAAUUAUUUGACCACAUAAUAGUUUAUGCCCAUUAUAUACUAUGUAAUUGUAUGAUGGAAAUAAUGCUGUACUUUGUUUGUAAAAGUUUAAUUAUCCUGACCUUUGUUCAUCAUAAAGAAUUGCUCCAUUUCUAUUAUUUAUCGAGGAAAAAAGUUUCUCUCUUUUUGUUUUUAAUAUGUCAUUAGGAGAAGAGUAGUUACACGUAGGCUAGAGUGUUUGCCAAGAAGAAAUUGAUUUUAAUGGGAACCUUUUAUCUAAGACAAACUUUAAGAAGAGCAGUAAUGGACAAUGUGUUCUGUGCAACUCUUCAGCCUUCAGUCUCACAUUCAUUGUGGUCAAGUAUUUUCAGCAAAGAAUAACAAGUCAGAGUUUGUGUAUAUUUUUCAUAGCUGUUCAUUCUCUUACAGAGUAACCUUGAACAAACCUCUUAAGAUUUGUGUUUUAUCUUCAUAUACUGAAAUACAAAAUGGGAAUGCCUAUAUUUAAUCAAAGAUAUAAUUUUUACUGAUAGAUAGUAAAGAACAAAACACUGGAACAAGAAUUCCUGUCCUGCCUUUCACAAUGUGGUUUUGAGGCCUUGGCCAUGUCACUUAAAUUCUCAUAUCUGUUUUCUCAAUCUAUAAAUGAUCAUAAUACCUGCACUAUCUGUCUCAAAUUGCAUAUGUGAAAGCAUCUUAAAGGUACAAAACAAUAAAUACAAAGCAUUAUUAU
rnacentral:lncRNA from 1 species